rnacentral:rRNA from 1 species
UACGAAGGGGGCUAGCGUUGCUCGGAAUGACUGGGAGUAAAGGGCGCGUAGGCGGUUUGGACAGUCAGAUGUGAAAUUCCUGGGCUCAACCUGGGGGCUGCAUUUGAUACGUUCGGACUAGAGUGGGGAAGAGGGUCGUGGAAUUCCCAGUGUAGAGGUGAAAUUCGUAGAUAUUGGGAAGAACACCGGUGGCGAAGGCGGCGACCUGGUCCUUGACUGACGCUGAGGCGCGAAAGCGUGGGGAGCAAACAGG